AACGAACGCUGGCGGCAUGCCUAACACAUGCAAGUCGAACGAGACCUUUGGGUCUAGUGGCGCACGGGUGCGUAACGCGUGGGAAUCUGCCCUUGGGUUCGGAAUAACAGUGAGAAAUUGCUGCUAAUACCGGAUGAUGUCUUCGGACCAAAGAUUUAUCGCCCAGGGAUGAGCCCGCGUAGGAUUAGCUAGUUGGUGGGGUAAUGGCCUACCAAGGCGACGAUCCUUAGCUGGUCUGAGAGGAUGAUCAGCCACACUGGAACUGAGACACGGCCCAGACUCCUACGGGAAGCAGCAGUGGGGAAUAUUGGACAAUGGGCGCAAGCCUGAUCCAGCAAUGCCGCGUGAGUGAUGAAGGCCUUAGGGUUGUAAAGCUCUUUUACCAGGGAUGAUAAUGGCAGUACCUGGAGAAUAAGCUCCGGCUAACUCCGUG
rnacentral:rRNA from 1 species